ACACAAUAUAGAUGACAGAGACAUAUAGAAAGGUCUAGAUAUUGCUUUUGGUAAAAAUGUCCAACAAUAACUUUCUGAAGAAACAAAAAAUAAUUCACAACAGCCAGGACCAAAUUUCCAUUCAUUCUUCACACUUUUCUGCGCGGUGUUGAAAGGAGCAAAAAAUCAGCCCAACCCAGUUAGAACAUUCUGUCAUGAAGUCACAGAGACACAUUCCAAGAGGCAGGAAAAGGUGAUUGCAACGUGCUUUCUCCUCCCCAAAGGCGUAUGUGCCACAAACAUGUCGAUGUUCAAAGAUCGAAACAAGAGCCUGAACAACCUGCUUCCUAAAGUCUAACACCCCUGUCAACAAACAACACACAGAUCCAAGUUAUUGCGAGAGGAACGUGUCUAUUUAUUCACAGGAAAAAUGCCUGCAUCCGUAAGCGAGACCAUCCAUCGCAGCCACUUUACAGAAAACGGGUAAGGGUGGGAAUUGUGCAGAAACUCGACGUUGCACCUGGCCGGUUUCCAGACGCCGCUCCCCGACCGGCUGAGGUCGUUCCCGUGUUGGCCAGGCGGUGGCGCUCGAGGCAAGUGGUGCCGCUCCCGGGUCCCGCGCGCAGCAUCUCCAAGCAGGUGGCUCAGAGAGGGGACUUGACACAGGUUCCGGAACAUCGCGCUGGGGACGAAGCAUCUGGAAGCCGCCAGCUCUCUUAUGGCCCCGAGAGUGUGUAUGGAGAUGUCAGAUCCUUAUCUAUUAUUCGCGCAAUUUGGACAAAAUAGGGGGAAAUGGAAGUAGUGGCUCAGCUGUGUCCUGGAUGGCUGAUUGGAAAACACCUACUCAGAAAAGACAGUGAGUGUUCUCUUUUUUCCAGCUGCACGCAUCCUUCCCAACAGAUGUGCGCUUUGGCAAGGUAGACCUUUGUUCUGUUUUAAAAAAAAAAAAAAAAAGCAGUGCUUAUUUGAAAAAAAAAAAAUGUAGUCCUGCUCUCCAAAGU
rnacentral:lncRNA from 1 species